CUUUUCAGCUCGUGUCUCUAGUAUCUCUCGAAUUAUAUCAAUUUCUGUCUCCUGAGAAGAAAGCUGAAGCUCCCAAACUAACUGAUGAGGGACAAAAUAGUUAGCACCAAACUGGUCUGAUAAUUCUGACACGUAUAACAAGGAUAACAAAGAAUCAAGCCCAUUUAUACAUCAUUAUCACUUGUGCAAUGCUAGGGGUCUCAAAUUUUGUUCAAGUGUCAAAUGAUGUGGCAUUGAAUAAGAAAAAAGUUUCUAUAUGACAUAACCAAUCACAAGAGUUUUACUCAACCAAUGUAAUCAAGCAAUAUCUUUGAGACACAAUUUGAGACAAAAAUUUGAUACAAACAAUGCAGAAUGAAAAUGAAAAUUAUAUGAUAAUUGUUUCUUUUUCAGAUCAAAUGAAUAUGAUAAUUGACUUUCUAACCUGAUUGAUAUUGAGUUCCUGAAACUUCGAACUAAAACUUUCUCGCUCGGAGGACUUAAUAUUUCCCCAUCGACAUAAACGGGGGAAUGUCAGGAUACCCAACAAACCAGGCCGACAAAGAUUAAUAUGCUCGUAAGACCAUAUCUGUUAACAAUGACAUAAUAUAAGUUUAAUUCUUGAUAUCGCAAAUAUAGCAACUUGUAUGCGUAAAUAAGCCUUAACUUCCAAGAAACCACACUUCCUAAAGUUAGAUACCUAUGACUUAAACACCUUCAUCGCACAAAUUUUUAUUCUACAAAACCCAGAGAGAAGGGGUAAGCAAAAAUUGGAUGCUUAUGUAAUUUAUCACAGUUAUAGGAAUGUAAUAUCAUGCCGAAGAAAAGAGGGGAAUAUGACAUAGAGGAAAAAGAAUUAUACCAGUAUAUGGUGGGACACUAAAGAAUAUACCAAGUUCUUGUGCAAAAAUUGUCAAGUAUUUAAACACCAGGAAAAAAAAAUAUACAACAUAGAAAUUUUAACUAAACUUAC
rnacentral:lncRNA from 1 species